rnacentral:rRNA from 1 species
AACGGCGAGUGAAGCGGCAACAGCUCAAAUUUGAAAUCUGGCCCUAGGCCCGAGUUGUAAUUUGCAGAGGAUGCUUCCGGCAAGGCACCUACCGAGUCCCCUGGAAUGGGGCGCCACAGAGGGUGAGAGCCCCGUAUGGUAGGACGCCGAGCCGAUGUGAAGCUCCUUCGACGAGUCGAGUAGUUUGGGAAUGCUGCUCUAAAUGGGAGGUAAAUUUCUUCUAAAGCUAAAUACCGGCCAGAGACCGAUAGCGCACAAGUAGAGUGAUCGAAAGAUGAAAAGCACUUUGAAAAGAGGGUUAAAAAGUACGUGAAAUUGUUGAAAGGGAAGCGCUUGUGACCAGACUCGCGCCGGCCGGAUCAUCCAGCGUUCUCGCUGGUGCACUCCGGCCGGCUCGGGCCAGCAUCGGUUUCCGCCGGGGGACAAAGGCUUCGGGAACGUGGCUCGCGUUGGGCGAGUGUUAUAGCCCGCUGCGUAAUACCCCGGGGGGGACCGACGACCGCGCUUCGGCAAGGAUGCUGGCGUAAUGGUCAUCAGCGACCCGUCUUGAAACACGGACCGAGGAGUCAAGCAUUAGUGCGAGUGUUUGGGUGUAAAACCCGCACGCGUAAUGAAAGUGAACGUAGGUGAGAGCUUCGGCGCAUCAUCGACCGAUCCUGAAGUCUUCUGAUGGAUUUGAGUAGGAGCAUUAACGCUUGGACCCGAAAGAUGGUGAACUAUACUUGAAUAGGGUGAAGCCAGAGGAAACUCUGGUGGAGGCUCGCAGCGGUUCUGACGUGCAAAUCGAUCGUCAAAUUUGAGUAUAG